rnacentral:rRNA from 1 species
GAUGAGUCUGCAUCUGAUUAGCUAGUUGAUGGUGUAAUGGACUACCAAGGCGACGAUCAGUAGCUGGUUUGAGAGGAUGAUCAGCCACAAUGGGACUGAGACACGGCCCAUACUCCUACGGGAGGCAGCAGUAGGGAAUUUUGCGCAAUGGGCGAAAGCCUGACGCAGCAACGCCGCGUGAUCGAGACGCCCUUCGGGGUGUAAAGAUCUGUCAGUGGGGACGAAACUUGACGGUACCCACAGAGGAAGCACCGGCUAACUCCGUGCCAGCAGCCGCGGUAAUACGGGGGGUGCAAGCGUUGUCCGGAAUCAUUGGGCGUAAAGAGUUCGUAGGCGGCACGUAAAGUCUGGUGUUAAAGGCAGAGGCUCAACUUCUGUACGGCACUGGAUACUUGCGAGCUAGAAUGCGGUAGAGGUAAAGGGAAUUCCUGGUGUAGCGGUGAAAUGCUUAGAUAUCAGGAGGAACAUCGGUGGCGUAAGCGCUUUACUGGGCCGUAAUUGACGCUGAGGAACGAAAGCCAGGGUAGCAAAUGGGAUUAGAUACCCCAGUAGUCCUGGCCGUAAACGAUGGAUACUAGGUGUUGCGGGUAUCGACCCCUGCA